UUCAACUGCUUCAAAUAUAUGCAGAGGGUGUAACUAAUUAAACUUGCAACCAAUACACCGGCGUUCCAAAUAGCUCAGUUGUAGAGAAGAGGAGACAUAAAAACAAAGAGAAGAAAAUUUCUCAUGAUAACCACUCUGAUGGAGGUACGAAGGAUGCAAAUACAAGGAACACAAGUGAGGUAGAAUCAGAUGUAUCUUC